ensembl:lncRNA
GUUUUCUCUUUGAGAAUCCCCCAUUUAAGUGAAGAUCACGAAUUUUCUCUUCUCAAAUACCCCAUUUAAGCGAAAAUCACGCGUUUUCUCUUCGGAAAUCCCCCAUUUAACCCGAAAAUCACGCGUUUUCUCUUCGCAAAUCCCCCAUUUAAGCGAAAAUCACCCGUUUUCUCAACGAGAAUCCCCCAGUUAACCCGAACAUCGCAUGUUUUCAAUUUGCAAAUCCCCUGUUUAUGCGGAAAAUCACGCGUUUUCUCUUCACAAAUCCGCCAUUUAAGCAAAAAUCACACGUUUUCUUUUCUAAAAUCCCCAAUUAAAGCAAAAAUCACGCGUUUUCACUUCAAGAAUCCAACAUUUAAGAAAAAAUCUCGCGUUUUCUCUUCGAGAAUCCCCCAUUUAAGUGAAAAUCACGCGUUUUCUCUUUGCAGAUCCCCCAAUUAACACAAAAAACCACGAGUUUUCUCUUCAGAAAUCCCACAUUUAACCAGAAAUCACACGUUUUCCCUUCGCAAAACCCCCAUUUAAGUGAAAAUCUCGCGUUUUCUCUUUGAGAAUCGUCAAUUUAAGUGAAAAUCAAGCGUUUUCUCUUUGAGAAUCCCCCAUUUAAGUGAAGAUCACGAAUUUUCUCUUCUCAAAUACCCCAUUUAAGCGAAAAUCACGCGUUUUCUCUUCGGAAAUCCCCCAUUUAACUUGAAAAUCACACGUUUUCUCUUCGCAAAUUCCACAUUUAAGCAAAAAUCACGUGUUUUCUCUUCGAGAAUCCAACAUCUAAGCGAAAAUCACACGUUUUCUCAAAUCCCUCAUUUAAGCGAAAAUCACGCGUUUUCUCUUCGAGAAUCCAACAUUUAACACAAAAAAACACGAGUUUUCUUUUCAGAAAUCCCACAUUUAACCAGAAAUCACAUGUUUUCCCUUCGCAAAACCCUCAUUUAAGCGAAAAUCACGCGUUUUCUCUUCGCAAAUCCCCCAUUUAACCAGAAAACCAAGCAUUUUCUGUUCGAGAAUCCCCCAUUUACCCGAAAAUCAUUUGUUCUCUCAAAUCCCCCUUUUAAGCGAAAAUCACGCAUUUUCUCUUUGCAAAUCCCCCAAUUAACACAAAAAGCACGCGUUUUCUCUUCAGGAAUCCCACAUUUAAGCGAAAAUCACACGUUUUCCCUUCGCAAAACCCCCAUUUAAGCAAAAAUCUCGCGUUUUCUCUUUGAGAAUCCAACAUUUAAGUGAAGAUCACGAAUUUUCUCUUCUCAAAUACCCCAUUUAAGCAAAAAUCACGCGUUUUCUCUUCGAGAAACCAACAUUUAACGAAAAUCACGCGUUUUCUCCAAUCCCCCAUUUAAGCGAAAAUCACGCGUUUUCUCUUCGAGAAUCCCCCAUUUAAGCGAAAAUCACGCGUUUUCUCAAAUCCCCCAUUUAAGCGAAAAUCACGCGUUUUCUCUUCGAGAAUCCAACAUUUAUCCAGAAAAUCAUGCGUUUUCUCUUCGGAAAUCUGCCAUUUAACUUGAAAAUCACGCGUUUUCUCUUCGGAAAUCCCCCAUUUAAGCGAAAAUCACGAGUUUUCGCUUCAAGAAUCCCCCAAUGAAGUGAAAAUCAAGCGUUUUCACUUCAACAAUCCAACAUUUAAGAAAAAAUCACGUGUUUCUCUUCGCAAAUCCCCCAUUUCACCCUAAAAACAUGCGUUUUCUCUUCUCAAAUCCCCCAUUUAAGCGAAAAUCACGCGUUUUCUCUUCGCAAAAAACACAUUUAAGCAAAAAUCACUCCUUUUCUCUUCAGGAAUCUUCCAUUUAAGUGAAAAUCACGUGUUUUCUCAAAUCCCCCAUUUAAGCGAAAAUCAUGCAUUUUCUCUUCCAGAAUCCCCCAUUUAACACAAAAAAACACGCGUUUUCUCUUCAGAAAUCCCACAUUUAAGCGAAAAUCACACAUUUUCCCUUCGCAAAACCCCCAUUUAAGUGAAAAUCUCGCGUUUUCUCUUUGAGAAUCCCCCAUUUAAGUGAAGAUCACGAAGUUUCUCUUCUCAAAUACCCCAUUUAAGCAAAAAUCACGCGUUUUCUCUUCGCAAAUCCCCCAUUUAACUUGAAAAUCACGCGUUUUCUCUUCGGAAAUCCCCCAUUUAAGCGAAAAUCACGCGUUUCCUCUUCGAGAAACCAACAUUUAACGAAAAUCAAGCGUUUUCUCAAAUCCCCCAUUUAAGCGAAAAUCACACGUUUUCUCUUCGGAAAUCCCCCAUUUGACUUGAAAAUCACGCGUUUUCUCUACACAAAUCCCCCAUUUAUGCAAAAA